AACGAACGCUGGCGGCGCGCCUAAUACAUGCAAGCCGAGCGAGAAGACGUAGCAAUACGUUUGUAAAGCGGCGAACGGGUGAGGAAUACAUGGGUAACCUACCCUCGAGUGGGGAAUAACUGGCCGAAAGGUUAGCUAAUACCGCGUACGCUCCUUGGACUUCGGUUCAGGGAGGAAAGCGAUACCGUGGGUAUCGCGCUCUUGGAUGGGCUCAUGUCCUAUCAGCUUGUUGGUGAGGUAACGGCUCACCAAGGCUUCGACGGGUAGCUGGUCUGAGAGGACGAUCAGCCACACUGGCACUGCGACACGGGCCAGACUCCUACGGGAGGCAGCAGUAAGGAAUAUUGCGCAAUGGGCGAAAGCCUGACGCAGCGACGCCGCGUGGGGGA
rnacentral:rRNA from 1 species